rnacentral:lncRNA from 1 species
ACGAAAUUAAGGACGUAGCCCCUAAUUAGGAGCUCAGACUCCCGUCACCAGCUCUGACAAGGCCUCACAACUCAAACUGUGAGAAGAGACAUCAUUUCUCAGGGUUUUUUUACUGAAUUGCCGGGACAGCAAGGAGUCACUGAAGUUAUGGGUCAUGUGGCCCCGCUGCUGGGCUGGCCCCUGACUGUGGGGCACGAGCGUCCCGGGGAGUCGGGUGCACGGAGCCACGGCCGGUCAGAAGCCCGGGAGCGUCAAGGUGUCUGACGCCGUCCUGACAACCGGUGACUGCGUUCCCUGGAAGUCCAGGACAUCCGCGCGCUGAUGUGCUUCCCGGGAAGCACUGUCCCCGGCACCUGCCCGCCACGCCCUGGCCCGACCCACAGACCCUGCGCCCAUGCAGGAGGUGCUGCCCCAUUUCACGAGCCUCCACCACGAAUCCUGGUGUCUCCUGGGGCCUCAGGUCCGAGCACAGAGGACACAGCACCGGGUCCUCCCUGUCACCGCCCAACCCCAGUCCUAAACCCCCGACCCUGUGCACCCCCUUCCCGGGACCCCAGGCCACACCCACCACUGCUGACACAUAACCAUGUGCACAUCUCACGCGAUUGUGACAUUCAUGUGCCCCCCACACAAAUGACCUCCCACCCCCUAGGCCCCCUGCCCGCUUGUGACUGCACCAUCCCCUGCUUGGGCCUCAGCCUCGUCCAGCGGGCCCCAGGCCUCCGCUGCUACCUGCGCCCACUGCGGCUGACCCCGGCAGGCCCCUGCGGCCCACCGCUGCCCCGGCCCCCCGAGUACCCUCACAUCCUCCUGACAGGCCUGCUGGCUUCACCCUCAUGGACCCAUAAUGGGGCAGCACACACACAGAGAAAUGUUGUAAUAGUUGGGGCUCUCUGGAGGAACACACCGAGCUGGGCAACAGGACAGACACAUGAACGUAUGUUGUGCAUGUGUGUACGCAGAGGCUUCUCGCCCCAGAUCCGCGUGAACGCCUCACACCACACCACCUCCUGGCAGCAGCGAGCACGGUGAUGACGACGGCCUGCAUCCCUGCCUCCAGCUUUCGGGGUUGGAGGUGAAAUUCUAGGUCAUAUGCAAGUCCAGUGUUGACCUCCUGAGGGACGUGCACCAGCCACAGGCGUGAGGGCUCCUUCCCCCACGGCCUCGCCUACACCUGCUUCGGGCUGGGUUUCGACAGCAGCCAUCCUGUGGCAGCACCUGUGAGCACUCACGCACCGUCCCGUGUGCUGCCGCCCACGCACACCACACAGCCUUGUGCACCCGCGGCCCCACGGUGGAGCCCCCAGCACAUUCCCCUCCCUGGCUCCCAGGCGGCCCGGACAACAUGCUGCCUUUUAUUUCAAAUUCCCUUUGCGGUGAGACUCUAGUCUUCGGAGCACUUUGUCGUGUAUGUUAGACACUCCCAGGCCACCGCAGCCCGCUGUGUCCCCCAGAACCGCCACAUGCUUAGCACCACCCGCCCCACGCCCGCUUGGGGAUGGAGACACGUGUGUAGAGGAGUCCGAUGUGCACCCUGCUGCGGGUCCCCGACGCUGGGGACUUCCCUCUCCUUUGUGGCCCCAGCAGAUGCCUGCAUUUGGCAGGAGCGUCCACCUGCCAGCCUGCCUGCAGUCCUGACCCCUGGGGAGAACGGAUGCCCCCAGAGGGAACAGUCAUGGGCGACCAGGGAGGUUCCUGGGGUUUCUCUGUCCUACACACACUGGAUUAACAGCGGCACCAUUUAAAUUCCCUGCACUACCUGACCUUUUGGACACUCAGAUUCUCAACCCCACCAGUAACCUUUCUUCACUUUUCUAUGGAAUUUUUUUUUUUCCAAAUUAAGCCAGGAUGGAACACCCUCCUUGACUCCUUCAUCACAAAGGCCUCAUGCCCGUAACCAGAUGCAGCCCCCGGCGGGCUGUGUCCUGCCUUUCUCAUACCUGCAAAAAAAUACAAAUUCUUCCUUGAGCAUUUGAAGGGCAGCUCCGGGCUGGAGGGAGUGACGGCAGACACCCCAAGCCUCUCCCCCGAAGUAGUGCGUCGUGGGGAGGGAGGGGAGCAGACCUGCAGGCAUGACAGCAGCAGAACAGAAGAGGAGAAGAAAUGCACAGAGAUGCACAGGGACAGGGAGGCGACUCAGAGGCCUCCUUGGAGAAAGUCCGAGGGGACAGGCCAGGCAGAAGGAGCCCUGGGGCUCCGAGUCCAGGGCAAGGACAAAACAGACAGGGGUGCAGCAGGUUGGGCAAGGGUGGACACAGUGUGCUCACAGGAGGGAAGGCGUGGGCCCAGAGGCUUGUGCAGAGCAGAGUUCCAGGAUCUCAGAGUUUAGGUUCCAUCCCACAGAGACAGAGAGGCUUUGAAAACCCUAAGACCUGACAACCAAGUGUGCACCUUGCAACAAGGACUCAGGGAGUGUGUGGGCAGGAUGUAAGUCCUGGGUCUGUCCUGACUAGUCCCCAGGCUCGAGGUCCUCCACGUGGGAUAUGGACAGUGGGCUGGGCGGCGCAUGGAUAGAGUAGGGAAGACCCCUUCGCCAGACCCCGGGAAGGAACAUGACCUUAAAUGGGGCUGAGAAAAAAAAAUGGGGCUGAGUAGAGAAGUAACGCAGGAAAGGGAUUUACCCAAAGAAAACAAAACACUAACUUAAAAGAUACUUACACCUCGAGGUUUACUGCAGUGUUGUUCACAAGAGCCAAGACACAGAAGCGUCCCAAGUGCCCAUGGACUGAUGAAUGGAUAAAGAUGUGGUCUAUACACAAUGGAACAUGACUCAGUCAUCACAAAGAAUGACAUUUUGCCAUUUGCAAUGACAUGGAUGGACCUAGAGGGUAUUACAUUAAGUAAAAUAAGUCAGAGAAAGACAAAUACCAUAUGAUUUCACUCCUAUGUAGAAUUUAAGAAAUAAAAUCAAAAAGGGGAUAUAAACA